rnacentral:rRNA from 1 species
AGCAGUGGGGAAUUUUGGACAAUGGGCGCAAGCCUGAUCCAGCCAUGCCGCGUGAGUGAAGAAGGCCUUCGGGUUGUAAAGCUCUUUCAGCUGGAAAAAAAUCGCUUCACCUAAUACGUGGAGUGGAUGAUGGUACCAGCAGAAGAAGCACCGGCUAACUACGUGCCAGCAGCCGCGGUAAUACGUAGGGUGCGAGCGUUAAUCGGAAUUACUGGGCGUAAAGCGUGCGCAGGCGGUUUUGUAAGACAGACGUGAAAUCCCCGGGCUUAACCUGGGAACUGCGUUUGUGACUGCAAGGCUAGAGUAUGGCAGAGGGGGGUAGAAUUCCACGUGUAGCAGUGAAAUGCGUAGAUAUGUGGAGGAAUACCGAUGGCGAAGGCAGCCCCCUGGGUCAAUACUGACGCUCAUGCACGAAAGCGUGGGGAGCAAACAGGAUUAGAUACCCUGGUAGUCCACGCCCUAAACGAUGUCAACUAGGUGUUGGGGGAGGAGACUUCCUUAGUACCGCAGCUAACGCGUGAAGUGACC